GCCAGUGUGGUGUAGUGGGUUGGGCAUUGGACUACAACUCUGGAGACCAGGGUUUGAAUCCCUGCUUAGCCC